rnacentral:rRNA from 1 species
GACGAACGCUGGCGGCGUGCCUAAUACAUGCAAGUCGAGCGAAGUUUUUCUGGUGCUUGCACCGGAAAAACUUAGCGGCGAACGGGUGAGUAACACGUAAAGAACCUGCCUCAUAGACUGGGACAACUACUGGAAACGAUAGCUAAUACCGGAUAACAGCAUUAACUGCAUGGUUGAUGUUUAAAAGUUGGUUUUGCUAACACUAUGAGAUGGCUUUGCGGUGCAUUAGCUAGUUGGUGGGGUAAAGGCCUACCAAGGCGACGAUGCAUAGCCGACCUGAGAGGGUGAUCGGCCACACUGGGACUGAGACACGGCCCAGACUCCUACGGGAGGCAGCAGUAGGGAAUCUUCCGCAAUGGGCGAAAGCCUGACGGAGCAACGCCGCGUGAGUGAAGAAGGAUUUCGGUUCGUAAAGCUCUGUUGUUAGGGAAGAAUGAUUGUGUAGUAACUAUACACAGUAGAGACGGUACCUAACCAGAAAGCCACGGCUAACUACGUG